UACGAAGGUGGCAAGCGUUGUUCGGAUUUACUGGGCGUACAGGGAGCGUAGGCGGUUGGAUAAGCCCUCCGUGAAAUCUCCAGGCUUAACCUGGAAAGUGCAGAGGGGACUGUUCAGCUAGAGGAUGGGAGAGGAGCGCGGAAUUCCCGGUGUAGCGGUGAAAUGCGUAGAGAUCGGGAGGAAGGCCGGUGGCGAAGGCGGCGCUCUGGAACAUUUCUGACACUGAGGCUCGAAAGCGUGGGGAGCAAACAGG
rnacentral:rRNA from 1 species